GGUUCAUUCAUAUGGCUCCAAAUGAAAAUUACGUUGUUGUAGAUGGAGAGUACUGCGUUGUACAGAUACACUGCAGUGUCUUCAUUCCUUCAUCUGUGGAUGGAAAGGUUCCACCAUGUUGGUGCGGAUUACCUGAUUGCAGUACCCGUGUCUGGGUGAAGAGGAUCCGGUUGUGACUGGAUGCUGCAGUUUCUGAAUCCCAUCCUCUGUGGGUGGACAGGACCCAUAGAAGAUGCCAAUUUAAAUAAACUGCUGCCUUCCUGAGAUACAGGGCAAGAAAUGAUGAAAGCUGUUCAACUCCUCGAGACCCAGAGACCAGUGAAAGAGGUUUCUCCAUCUUGCUGGUAGUGAACUGAUGUCCAGAAUUUUGAUGGCUGAAGAGUAUACCAUUGUGCAUAAAUCCUUCAAUUCCUGCAUUUUUUCAGCUGUGGAAAGACAAGUGGGUUGAUUCUACACCUUGGUUAUUGUCCAGAGUACUUCAUGAAACACGGGAAGGGAGAUCCCUCCUUAAGGUUCAUCCAUGUGGCUCCAAAUGAAAAUCACAUUAUUUUGUUACGGAUGAAGAGUAUUGCGUUGUGCAGAUAUACUGCAGUGUCUUUAUCUCUUCAUGUGUGGUUGGAUAGGUUUCUCCAUCUUGCUGGAAGUGACCUGAUGUCCAGAAGUUGGAUGGCUGAGGAGUAUACCAUCGUGCACGCAUCCUUCAUUUACUGCAUUUCUUCCUCUGUGGAUGGACAGGAGGAAGAUGGGCAAAUGGGGCUGCCACUGCCUCCAUUGCUGGCAGGGGGAGCAGGAAGAGCAACGCGGCCGCUUCUGAGACCAGGACGACUCCGC